ACCAUCCACUAAAUGGAAAACCUUUAUUCUUUCCAGUUGAAAUGUAACAUCUCAGAAAUCUGAUCUAUUGGUAAAGAUUCUAUCAUCAUCUUUCAUGCUGUAGUUGAGGCGGCACAGUUGCAUGACAGUUAGUGUAACAAGUUACAGUGUCAGCGACCCCAGUUCACUUCCCACUGCUGUCUGUAAGGAGUUUGUAUGGUCUCCACAAGUCCAUGUGGGUUUCCUCCCACAUUCCUCCCAUAUUCCUAAGAUGUCCAUGUUAGUCAAUAGAUUAGUCACAUUGGUCUCCUAAGGAGGGGCUUAGGAGGAAUAAUGGCACCUAAUGGGGACUCCUUUGCUUACAUCUUCGGAAGCAGAUCUAUUUCCAUCUUUAGUAUCUUUAUUUUUCCCUUUCAGGGUACCUUUGAAGACCCUGACCUGGAGUUACAUGCUGACUAUGGUUCUUUGUGGGAAUGGGACCCAGAUAUGGUUUCAAGGAUGGCUGUUGUUUGGCAUGCCAAGGGCUUGACCUAAGAGCUUCACUUGCUUUUGGAAGACCGGGAUCUUGUGGCUCUGGAGACGGGCGGAUUGAGCACUGAAUGGAUGACCUCUAGUUUUCCAGUCUUCUGCCUUCUCAAUUCCCUCCAUUGGAUAGGCUUUGGCUCCUUCGAUGUUGACCAUAUCCAGUCAGAAGCACCGAGGAAUCAUUUAACAUUUGUAAACAUUGGUGAAUCACACGAGAAGAAAGAGCAGCAUUCUGAACUAUAAGGAAAAGAAUGGCUCCUGGCUCACCUCUCCAUGGCUUCUUUUUCAUAUAUUUAUGAAAUGUAAACAUUGCUGGCAUGUGAAGAAAGGUCCUAAUACUCUUGAGAAAGUUAUGCUGGAACACGUGGGAUCCGCUUUGCUGUGGAAGGCAUUGAGCUGCCUAAGACUUUCCAAAUGAUGGAGGAACUCUGCAGGUCAUAUGACAUCUGCAGAGAGAAAUGGACAGUUGAUGCUUUGGGUUGAGAUCUUUUCUUAUGGAUGAAACUGAAACACAUAUCCCAGCAGUGACCACAUUUGGACAUUUCCAAUAUGACAAGGCACUAAUGCAAAGAUUUACAUUGAAAAUUCCCUUAAAGAACUCGUACAUUUACAAGUCUUCCUUUGGGCACCUCCCCGCUCCAUGGUCCCAAAAGCUUUUCUUCCCACUUAACCCAGCAAUUGGCUCAGGCUGACACUUCCCCCGUCCACUCUUAUCCAACUCUUUAAUUUGGCAAUACACCACGUGCCCUCAACCAGCAAUGUCCACACACCACAACCUUUUGCAUGCUCACCUAAUCAGUGAACAUGCACUUUGACAGUCAACAAAGCCUCAGGUCUGUCAGCAUUCUCUUUCUGGGAUCCCUGGACCAGUGUUCAGUGCCUGAAAUUGUAAUCCCUUCAAACUAGGGAACUUCAUUGUAUCCCUCAUAUACAUUCAUUUAAUAACUUGUAAUCAAUAAAACUAAAUAUGCAAAAAUCUGGGUGAUAAGUAUUUCUCUUCCUCUAGUGUUGCUGUCUCCUGGUUUGAAUCUCCCAGGAUGUGGUCCUUGGUGGAAUGUGCAAAACAGGCACGCCCCAAGAUUAUAUGUUGUUGCUAUUUGCAUUGUGAGUAAGGUGCACACAACAAUCCAAAUAUUUUUUCAUAAAUCAUCUUGUGACAGCUGGUAUGUAUUUUGUAUCUCCUAAUUACAAUUGCCUGGAAAUUGAUUUGCUUCAUAUUACUUUCAGUACCAUGUACAUGAUUUUUUCCCCAUUUUUCA